rnacentral:rRNA from 1 species
UACGUAGGGCGCAAGCGUUGUCCGGAAUUAUUGGGCGUAAAGAGCUCGUAGGUGGCUUGUCACGUCGGGUGUGAAAGCUUGGGGCUUAACUCCAGGUCUGCAUUCGAUACGGGCUGGCUAGAGGUAGGUAGGGGAGAACGGAAUUCCUGGUGUAGCGGUGAAAUGCGCAGAUAUCAGGAGGAACACCGGUGGCGAAGGCGGUUCUCUAGUACGGUACUGACGCUGAGACGCGAAAGCGUGGGGAGCGAACAGG